GCGAUUCACUCAGCCUUGCACGUCUAUGGACAGAAAGGUUUUAAACGGACGGUGACAUCACUCAGCCUUGCACAUCUAUGGACAGAAAGGUUUUAAACAGACGGUGACAUCACUCAGCCUUGCACGUCUAUGGACAGAAAGGUUUUAAACAGACGGUGACAUCACGCAGCCUUGCACGCCAAGUGGACAGAAAGGUUUUAAACGAACGGUGACAUCACGCAGCCUUGCACGUCUAUGGACAGAAAGGUUUUAAACGGACGGUGACAUCACUCAGCCUUGCACGCCCAGUGGACAGAAAGGUUUUAAACGGACGGUGACAUCACACAGCCUUGCACGUCUAUGGACAGAAAGGUUUUAAACGGACGGUGACAUCACACAGCCUUGCACGCCCAGUGGACAGAAAGAUUUUAUUUUAUUUAUUAUAUUUUAUAACAGUAUAUUAUAUUCACGUUUUAUAUUGUCACACAGUCACUCCUCACUCACAGUUAUACCAUCAUGACUGCUUCCAAACUGCACCCUAUUCCCUACGUAGUGCAGUACUUUGAGUACGCCCCCUAUGAACCCUGGCCAAACUGCACCCUAUUCCCUACAUACUACAGCACUUUGAGUACGCCCCCUAUAGACCCUGGUCAAACUGCACCCUAUUCCCUACGUAGUACACUACUUUGAGUACGCCCCCUAUAGACCCUGGUCAAACUGCACCUUAUUCCCUACGUAGUACACUACUUUGAGUACGCCCCCUAUAGACCCUGGUCAAACUGCACCUUAUUCCCUACGUAGUACAGUACUUUGAGUACGCACCCUAUGGACCCUGGUAGUGCAUCAUAUAGGGAAUAGGGUUCCAUUUAGAACACAGCCCAUGUCUGAGACAGACAUAGAACAGUUAUAACAUGUUAUAGAACAAGUCACAGGCUUGAGAACAGUUAUAACAUGUCAUAUGUUUUAUAACAAGACACAGGCUUGAGAACAGUUAUAACAUGUUAUAGAACAAGUCACAGGCUUGAGAACAGUUAUAACAUGUCAUAUGUUUUAUAACAAGACACAGGCUUGAGAACAGUUAUAACAUGUUAAAUGUUUUAUAACAAGACACAGGCUUGAAUAAAGUUGUAACAUGUUAUGUUAUAGAACAAGACACAGGCUUGAGAACAGUUAUAACAUGUUAUAUGGUUUAUAACAAGACACAGGCUUGAGAACAGUUAUAACAUGUUAUAUGGUUUAUAACAAGACACAGGCUUGAGAACAGUUAUAACAUGUUAAAUGUUUUAUAACAAGACACAGGCUUGAGAACAGUUAUAACAUGUUAUAGAACAAGUCACAGGCUUGAGAACAGUUAUAACAUGUCAUAUGUUUUAUAACAAGACACAGGCUUGAGAACAGUUAUAACAUGUUAAAUGUUUUAUAACAAGACACAGGCUUGAAUAAAGUUGUAACAUGUUAUGUUAUAGAACAAGACACAGGCUUGAGAACAGUUAUAACAUGUUAUAUGGUUUAUAACAAGACACAGGCUUGAGAACAGUUAUAACAUGUUAUAUGUUUUAUAACAAGACACAGGCUUGAAUAAAGUUGUAACAUGUUAUGUUAUAGAACAAGACACAGGCUUGAGAACAGUUAUAACAUGUUUUAUAACAAGACACAGGCUUGAGAACAGUUGUAACAUGUUAUGUUAUAGAACAAGACACAGGCUUGAGAACAGUUAUAACAUGUCAUAUGUUAUAGAACAAGACACAGGCUUGAGAACAGUUAUAACAUGUUAUAUGGUUUAUAACAAGACACAGGCUUGAGAACAGUUAUAACAUGUUAUAUGUUAUAGAACAAGACACAGGCUUGAGAACAGUUAUAACAUGUCAUAUGUUUUAUAACAAGACACAGGCUUGAGAACAGUUAUAACAUGUCAUAUGUUAUAGAACAAGACACAGGCUUGAGAACAGUUAUAACAUGUUAUAUGUUUUAUAACAAGACACAGGCUUGAAUAAAGUUGUAACAUGUUAUGUUAUAGAACAAGACACAGGCUUGAGAACAGUUAUAACAUGUUUUAUAACAAGACACAGGCUUGAGAACAGUUGUAACAUGUUAUGUUAUAGAACAAGACACAGGCUUGAGAACAGUUAUAACAUGUCAUAUGUUAUAGAACAAGACACAGGCUUGAGAACAGUUAUAACAUGUUAUAUGGUUUAUAACAAGACACAGGCUUGAGAACAGUUAUAACAUGUUAUAUGUUAUAGAACAAGACACAGGCUUGAGAACAGUUGUAACAUGUUAUAUGGUUUAUAACAAGACACAGGCUUGAGAACAGUUAUAACAUGUUAUAUGUUAUAGAACAAGACACAGGCUUGAGAACAGUUAUAACAUGUCAUAUGUUUUAUAACAAGACACAGGCUUGAGAACAGUUAUAACAUGUCAUAUGUUAUAGAACAAGACACAGGCUUGAGAACAGUUAUAACAUGUCAUAUGUUAUAGAACAAGACACAGGCUUGAGAACAGUUAUAACAUGUCGUAUGUUUUAUAACAAGACACAGGCUUGAGAACAGUUAUAACAUGUUAUAUGGUUUAUAACAAGACACAGGCUUGAGAACAGUUAUAACAUGUUACAUGUUUUAUAACAAGACACAGGCUUGAGAACAGUUAUAACAUGUUACAUGGUUUAUAACAAGACACAGGCUUUAGCCUCCACGUGUUGCCUUCCGUUUGCUCCUCACUGGUUUAUCACUAUAUCAAUUUAACCUGUAUGAAUAAACUACUUAUUAAAACAGG